GAUGAGGAGCAGGUCCCUUCUGUCUCCACCUCUGCUGGUUCUCACAAGAAAAGGCUUCUGGUGCAGCUGUCGACUGGCACAACUCGCUAAACCAGGCUUUCCGGAGUCAUACGGCUGAUAUCAAAAUCCAUGCCAGUGCUGUGUGAGAUUGACUCCUCAGAUGGUAGAUCAUGGACAUGCAGUCUGUCUGUACAAACGGCACAUGAAGUGGACUCCUCUGGCGCGUUGGCUGAGCAGCUCAUCUGGGUAAGAACACACAUAUUGUGGCCUUUGAGUGGUGGAAUUAUUCUGUCAACAGGACAAGCAGCUUUAAGAAGUCGACAAGGCCCUUUGCAGGGUAAAAACUCACUCUUGUUCACAGCAACAAAACAGUGCUGAAGGAAGUUGCAUAGGGCUGGACAUAAAUCACAUGAUACAUUUGAUGUGGAUUGCAUCUACGUACUCCAUAUAUUUUACAGACAUCUGGAGAUUCAUGAUGUUCUUCAGCAUUGGGAAUUUGAUCCAUUCAUGACUCAUUUAAGAAUUACAUGCCAGUCAGCCAAUGUGUGUGAUAUACAGUAGGUGUAUGCCUGCAUAGCUUCAUCUUAUUUUUUUGCAAAGCAAGCAUGUUGCAAUAACUGAACUUGUCACAUUGUGUUUGUGAAGAAAUCAACUAGCACUCACAGUUAACUGUGAGUGUGAGUAAGGGACAAACAUUGAUACAAUCCAGAUCUGACUCUGACUUCUACAAGCAAUGAUGCUGACCCUGUUCAUAGUUUAUAUCAUUGAUCAACGGUGCACAUGAUUCAUGCACGUAUUUACAUACCAGCUACACUUAGCUAAGGCUUCAAAAAGGAUCUUAAUGCCAUGAGAUCAGUGUCUGGCCAUUGCGGUUUUCAUUGUUUCCCUGCUCACUGAACAACGCUGUAUCGUUACAAACAACCGGUCCACCCUACUAAGUCCAUUUUUAAAUUCAGUAGUUUUCUAUUAAUUUAGCCACUGGUGUGAAGUCUACAUUGCAAUUAAAGUAUCUUGAAAGUAAGAUCUUGCUGGUAGCUGCUGAAGCAAAAUGGUCCAGGGAGCAAUGCAUUGUCUGGGGUCGUUUUACUGAGGAAAGAAAACACUAAAAAUGCAUGAACUUUGGGAGAAUGGAACAGAAUAUUGAUGAAGUCACUGUACACUUAGGAGCUGCAUUCAAUCAUAUGAACUCAGCACUUAUGAACCAUCAUGAAUGGAGAGAAUAGAGAGUGCCAUUUACAAUAUGUAUAAAUAAAAGAACAUUUCCCUUAAAAAAAAAAAAAAUGCUUUCAGAAG